rnacentral:rRNA from 1 species
CAGCCGCCACGGUAAUACGGAGGAUCCGAGCGUUAUCCGGAAUUAUUGGGUUUAAAGGGUGCGUAGGCGGAUAGAUAAGUCAGUGGUGAAAGACGGUGGCUCAACCAUCGCAGUGCCGUUGAUACUGUUUAUCUUGAAUAUGGAUGAGGUAGGCGGAAUGUGGCAAGUAGCGGUGAAAUGCAUAGAUAUGCCACAGAACACCGAUUGCGAAGGCAGCUUACCAAGGCAAAAUUGACGCUGAGGCACGAAAGCGUGGGGAUCGAACAGGAUUAGAUACCCCCGUAGUCCCUGUCUCUUAUAU